GAAGAAAUGAACUUUGUCAGGAAGCACGCACUAGAGCAAGCCAAAACUCUUGGCGUUGAGGUUAGGGAAGCUGCAACUAGAAUAUUCUCCAACGCCUCAGGCUCGUACUCCUCCAAUGUAAACCUUGCUGUUGAAAAUUCUUCAUGGAAUGAUGAGAAGCAGCUUCAAGACAUGUACUUAAGCCGCAAGUCCUUUGCAUUUGACUGUGAUGCUCCUGGAACCGGUAUGAUGGAAAAGAGACAAGUAUUUGAGAUGGCUCUAAGUACAGCCGAGGCCACAUUCCAAAACCUUGACUCUUCAGAAAUCUCCCUUACUGAUGUCAGUCACUACUUCGACUCUGACCCUACCAAUCUGGUACAGAACCUGAGGAAGGAUGGAAAGAAGCCGAAUGCAUACAUUGCAGACACGACCA
rnacentral:lncRNA from 1 species